rnacentral:rRNA from 1 species
GAUGAACGCUGGCGGCGUGCCUAAUACAUGCAAGUCGAGCGAACAGACGAGGAGCUUGCUCCUCUGACGUUAGCGGCGGACGGGUGAGUAACACGUGGAUAACCUACCUAUAAGACUGGGAUAACUUCGGGAAACCGGAGCUAAUACCGGAUAAUAUAUUGAACCGCAUGGUUCAAUAGUGAAAGACGGUUUUGCUGUCACUUGUAGAUGGAUCCGCGCCGCAUUAGCUAGUUGGUAAGGUAACGGCUUACCAAGGCAACGAUGCGUAGCCGACCUGAGAGGGUGAUCGGCCACACUGGAACUGAGACACGGUCCAGACUCCUACGGGAGGCAGCAGUAGGGAAUCUUCCGCAAUGGGCGAAAGCCUGACGGAGCAACGCCGCGUGAGUGAUGAAGGUCUUCGGAUCGUAAAACUCUGUUAUUAGGGAAGAACAAAUGUGUAAGUAACUAUGCACGUCUUGACGGUACCUAAUCAGAAAGCCACGGCUAACUACGUG